rnacentral:rRNA from 1 species
UGACUGUGCAAAGGUAGCAUAAUCAGUUGGCUUAUAAUUGAAGUCUGGGAUGAAAGAAUAUUCGGGUAAUAUCUAUCUUAUGGUAUUUAAUUGAAAUUGGUUACCAAGUGCAAAUACUUGUUUACUUAAAUUAGACGAGAAGACCCUAGAAACUUGUUAAUUUUGUUGGGGCGACAGAACUACAUUUAACUAGUUUUCAAGAACUUGAAGUAAAGCAGAUAGAUAAAGUUACUCUAGGGAUAACAGCAUAAUUUA